rnacentral:rRNA from 1 species
UUUAUUGCAUGGAGCCACCAUGCAGUCGAGCGGAUCAUAGAACUUGGUUCCUGUUUCUUGCCGGACGAGUGAGUAAUGCCCAUGAAUCUGCCGGGUGUUGGACUGAAACAUCUCCAAAGGAACGCUGCUACCACCUACAUACCCACUUUUCCACUCCUGGGGACCUUCUGACCUUGCGCUUUCGCAGGAACCUACGUAUGAUUCCCUAGCUGGUGAGGUAAUGGGUCACCUAAGCGAUCAUCCGUGACUGGACUGAUAGGCUAAUUGAUCACCUGAUCACUGACACUGGGACUGAAAUCCUACCCAAAGUCCUACUGGAGAAUAUUGUACGAAGUCUUCCACCCUGAUCCAAACUUGCAUCGAGCGUCACCACGGGCUUCAUAUUGGCCUUCACUUCAAAUAGCUCUGAUGGUCAGGAACAUCAUACACUGCAGUUUCUGCCUUUCCCACGAAAGAACCUCCGCCUAACUCUGCGCCUAAAUCCGCGCCAAUACCCACGGUGCUACCUAUAUGCCAAAUUACUGCCCGAAUUAUUGGCCUAAGAGCGCUCGCAAGCUGGACGUUAAAUCCCAUGUGCUCAACCUGGGAUCUGCCUUCGAAACUGCACUGCUAACAGAUGGACUAGAGUGGUGGAAUUUCCUGUGUAGCGGUGAAAUGCGUAGAUAUAGGAAGGAACACCAGUGGCGAAGGCGACCACCUGGACUGAUACUGACACUGAGGUGCGAAAGCGUGGGGAGCAACCAGGAUUAGAUACCCUGGUAGUCCACGCCGUAAACGAUGUCAACUAGCCGUUGGGAGCCUUGAGCUCUUAGUGGCGCAGCUAACGCAUUAAGUUGACCGCCUGGGGAGUACGGCCGCAAGGUUAAAACUCAAAUGAAUUGACGGGGGCCCGCACAAGCGGUGGAGCAUGUGGUUUAAUUCGAAGCAACGCGAAGAACCUUACCAGGCCUUGACAUCCAAUGAACUUUCCAGAGAUGGAUUGGUGCCUUCGGGAACAUUGAGACAGGUGCUGCAUGGCUGUCGUCAGCUCGUGUCGUGAGAUGUUGGGUUAAGUCCCGUAACGAGCGCAACCCUUGUCCUUAGUUACCAGCACGUAAUGGUGGGCACUCUAAGGAGACUGCCGGUGACAAACCGGAGGAAGGUGGGGAUGACGUCAAGUCAUCAUGGCCCUUACGGCCUGGGCUACACACGUGCUACAAUGGUCGGUACAGAGGGUUGCCAAGCCGCGAGGUGGAGCUAAUCCCACAAAACCGAUCGUAGUCCGGAUCGCAGUCUGCAACUCGACUGCGUGAAGUCGGAAUCGCUAGUAAUCGCGAAUCAGAAUGUCGCGGUGAAUACGUUCCCGGGCCUUGUACACACCGCCCGUCACACCAUGGGAGUGGGUUGCACCAGAAGUAGCUAGUCUAACCUUCGGGAGGACCGGUUACCCAACGGUGUGACUCAUGANUGGGGGAAGUCGAACACGAGCAGCAUGG